AGGGAAAUAGCUCAGUGCAGAGCACAUGCUUAGGAUGUAUGAAGUCCUGGGUUCAAUCCCUAGUAUCUCUG
rnacentral:tRNA from 1 species